CUGACUGACCGAUAGUGAACCAGUACCGUGAGGGAAAGGCGAAAAGAACCCCGGCGAGGGGAGUGAAAAAGAACCUGAAACCGUGUACGUACAAGCAGUGGGAGCACGCUUAGGCGUGUGACUGCGUACCUUUUGUAUAAUGGGUCAGCGACUUAUAUUCUGUAGCAAGGUUAACCGAAUAGGGGAGCCGAAGGGAAACCGAGUCUUAACUGGGCGUUAAGUUGCAGGGUAUAGACCCGAAACCCGGUGAUCUAGCCAUGGGCAGGUUGAAGGUUGGGUAACACUAACUGGAGGACCGAACCGACUAAUGUUGAAAAAUUAGCGGAUGACUUGUGGCUGGGGGUGAAAGGCCAAUCAAACCGGGAGAUAGCUGGUUCUCCCCGAAAGCUAUUUAGGUAGCGCCUCGUGAAUUCAUCUCCGGGGGUAGAGCACUGUUUCGGCAAGGGGGUCAUCCCGACUUACCAACCCGAUGCAAACUGCGAAUACCGGAGAAUGUUAUCACGGGAGACACACGGCGGGUGCUAACGUCCGUCGUGAAGAGGGAAACAACCCAGACCGCCAGCUAAGGUCCCAAAGUCAUGGUUAAGUGGGAAACGAUGUGGGAAGGCCCAGACAGCCAGGAUGUUGGCUUAGAAGCAGCCAUCAUUUAAAGAAAGCGUAAUAGCUCACUGGUCGAGUCGGCCUGCGCGGAAGAUGUAACGGGGCUAAACCAUGCACCGAAGCUGCGGCAGCGACGCUGAUGCGUUGUUGGGUAGGGGAGCGUUCUGUAAGCCUG
rnacentral:rRNA from 1 species